ACUCUUAACCAUUCUAUAGAAUCAGCACCCAUCUUUGAGUCAGAGUUUGAGAUGCAAAUCCUUUACUGUAUAGCCUUGAUCAAAUGACUUCACCUCAUUGAAUUAAUCUUCUUCUGCAUAAAAUGGGGUCACCAUCUGCUUAUCUAAAUUGUUACAAAUGGGACAGUAUAUGUGCCAUUCCAGAUACCUAAUCACAGCUCAAUCGAUGCUGGUGUCUUUUUCCUUUUUCCUUCUGCAGAAAACAUGCUUUACAUAGGAUCUCUGAACUUAAAGAAUGGGAAGAAGAAAAAUCAUGUUUCCAGCUUGGGCUGCUGUUUCAUCUGUUGGACUUGCUUGUGAGCUAAGCCAAAUUUCAUUAAAAAUUAUUGGUCUCAUAACUUUUUUUGUUUUUCCCUUUAAAGAGUCCCAUAUGGAACCAAUAUUGUGAUAGGAUUGUAGCUGCAUAAAGUCAUUGGGCAUUUUGACCCACUCUCUGCUUCUUGGUAGAUUCUAAGUACAGAUCUAAUUAUUUUUUCCUUCAAGUAUUAAGCGAAUAUCUCUGCAAACAAAUCCAAAUUUAGAAAGCUAGAUUGAAGAAAUGGAGAAGCAAAUCUAGUCAACUCAUAGAAAUCUUUCUUCUCCUCUCUUGCUCUGUCUCCAAGAGAACCUCUACACCUUCUUUUAAGGUGCCAGCCAUCUUAAGCUCUUGUCUGAUUAAGAAAUUCUCUGGUAGAACCAGAGCAUCUGCAAAAGCAUAAAAUAUGAUCACAGCCUUUGCACAAGUAUUUUAACAACCCAACCUUAUGAUAGGUUAUAUUUCAUUGACUUGGAAGAAACACUGCAUUAUCUGGGAAAACAGCACAGAUGUUGCCUAAUAAACGUUUUGGUUUAUGCAUUGUAUUAACCUCAUGAAACAUUUAUGCAAAUCUCACAUUAACAAAAGAAAGCGUAUGGGUUUGUUUACCCUUCCUGCAGGCAUCCAACCUGGCCUUUUAUUCCUGCUCAAGUAGGACAUGCAGCCUGCUGGGGACCCGUGGCUCAAAUCCUCCAACUGCAGGACUGCCGGCCCUGGGACUCAUGAAUAAUGGAAGUGCAGUAACCACUCCUUACAGCCCAGACGACUUUCCAGGAGCAGGCUGUACCCCGAAAGUAAACAAGGAACAAGGGGCAAGGAGACAGAGAGAGAUGGGGAAAUAUCCUCACCAACAGCCCUGCUGCAGUGAAAACUGGAGGAUCCCUGAAUGGAAAGGAAUGCUAUGCACACUUUUUGGAUACAGGAAGUGAGAUUCAGAGGGGUUAAACAGCUUUCCUAAAGCCACACAGCGAGAGAGUCGAUCUGAACUGAAGAUUGUUUGACAUCAAAGCUCAUUUCUUUCCCUAAAUGUCAGCAUUCUUUCCUGACUUAUUAAUUUGAUUUCUGUCCUCCCCUCAUGGAAGUUAAUUAAAGGAAUGCGAGAACCUUUUAGAAAAUCUC
rnacentral:lncRNA from 1 species